GACGAACGCUGGCGGCGUGCCUAAUACAUGCAAGUUGAGCGCUGAAGGCUGGUACUUGUACCAACUGGAUGAGCAGCGAACGGGUGAGUAACGCGUGGGGAAUCUGCCUUUGAGCGGGGGACAACAUUUGGAAACGAAUGCUAAUACCGCAUAAAAACUUUAAACACAAGUUUUAAGUUUGAAAGAUGCAAUUGCAUCACUCAAAGAUGAUCCCGCGUUGUAUUAGCUAGUUGGUGAGGUAAAGGCUCACCAAGGCGAUGAUACAUAGCCGACCUGAGAGGGGGAGCGGCCACACUGGGACUGGGACACGGCCCAAAAUCCUACGGGAGGCAGCAGUAGGGAAUCUUCGGCAAUGGACGAAAGUCUGACCGAGGAACGCCGCGUGAGUGAAGAAGGUUGUCGGAUCGUAAAACUCUGUUGGUAGAGAAGAACGUUGGUGAGAGUGGAAAGCUCAUCAAGUGACGGUAACUACCCAGAAAGGGACGGCUAACUACGUG
rnacentral:rRNA from 1 species